AGGGAAUCUUCCACAAUGGACGCAAGUCUGAUGGAGCAACGCCGCGUGAGUGAGGAAGGCUUUCGGGUCGUAAAACUCUGUUAUUGAAGAAGAACGUGCGUGACAGUAACUGGUCAUGCAGUGACGGUAUUCAAUCAGAAAGUCACGGCUAACUACGUGCCAGCAGCCGCGGUAAUACGUAGGUGGCAAGCGUUGUCCGGAUUUAUUGGGCGUAAAGCGAGUGCAGGCGGUCUUUUAAGUCUGAUGUGAAAGCCUUCGGCUUAACCGAAGAA
rnacentral:rRNA from 1 species